AUGCUUAGGCUUAGGCUUAGUCUUAGGCUUAGUCUAAGUCCUAGGCUUGGGAUUCGGCUUCGGCUGAGGCUGAGGC
ensembl:ncRNA Y54E10A.19 ncRNA